rnacentral:rRNA from 1 species
GGAGGGUGCAAGCGUUGUUCGGAAUUAUUGGGCGUAAAGAGCGUGUAGGCGGUCCGGUAAGUCAGAUGUGAAAGCCCUGGGCUCAACCCAGGAAGUGCAUUUGAAGCUACCAGACUUGAGUACGGGAGAGGAGGGGGGAAUUCCCGGUGUAGAGGUGAAAUUCGUAGAUAUCGGGAGGAAUACCAGUGGCGAAGGCGCCCUCUGGACCGAUACUGACGCUGAGACGCGAAAGCGUGGGGAGCAAACAGGAUUAGAUACCCUGGUAGUCCACGCCGUAAACGAUGAGCACUAGGUGUAGCGGGUAUUGACCCCCCUGCUGUGCCCGUAGCUAACGCAUUAAGUGCUCCGCCUGGGGACUACGGUCGCAAGACUA